rnacentral:lncRNA from 1 species
GUUUUCUCUCAUUCGAGAGAGUUGAGAGCUGGAAAUGAGAGGGAAAACGGGAGAUUGCAUAGGGGCGAUCACAAUUGGGAGAAGAGAGGGGCAGUGUGCAGCGGUGACCGUGAGUGUGAAAAAGGAAAGAGAGGGAGUUACGAUGGCCAAGAGCGAAAAAGGGUGAGACUCGAAAGUUCCAAAGCAUAAUGAUGUUAACGUGCCACGUGGGUGAGUGACCAUGAGGAAAUAGAGACCCGUGGCAGCAAGAUUCAUGAUGCGGGUGAGUGUUGAGCGCAGUUGAAGGGAAUCGAAGACCGUAACCAAAGCCUCCCUCCACCGCAAUGAGAUCUUGAACCCACACGCGAUGAGCCGUGUGAUGGAGGAUGACUGAAUGACUUCAACCAUAUGAGAGGAAGAAGACCGUAACUCGAUGCCAUUUCGAGUUACCACAUGGAUAACCACAAAAAAGGUAAAUUUUUCCUCAUUUUUCCUUUGUUAUUUCUGAUACGGGCAUCAUAGCCUUGCCUUUCACGCAUGUAUGCUGGUCCCUAAUCUGAAUUGCACAACCUAACUCGGGGGCCGAGAGGAUUCCGUUGGGUUUCUAAAUCUGACUUCCUCUAGUACAUCGUUCAAAACCUAGGGAUUCAAGGUAUAAAUUUCAAUUAGUUUAGGAAGGAUUUAGAUUAAGAUAAAUGCAUAUUUAUACACUUAUAUAUAGACAGUUUUAUAAACAAUCAGAAUUUCAAUAGAUAAAUAUGCAUGCAAUUUGAGUGCCAGGCACCUUGGUUCAUUCACUAACUUGAGAUGGGGUCUUUUCCUUUACAGGAUGAUCAUAUGAAUUUAAGGCGAUUAUGGAGCUUAAAUUGGACCCUAAUCGCUCCAGGAUCAAUAAGUAUAAUUAGUAACCCUCAGAGCCUUCAUAUAGUCAUUAAAAAAAAAAAUCAUUAAAAUUUUAUGAAAUUAAGUGCAUGCAAAUAAGUAAUGAUGAUAUGGUCUGGAAAUGAGAUUUUUAGUGAUUUUUACAAUUUUCGUACUCAUUU